rnacentral:rRNA from 1 species
UGAGGAAUAUUGCACAAUGGACGAAAGUCUGAUGCAGCAACGCCGCGUGGAGGAUGACGGCCCUUGGGUUGUAAACUCCUUUUUUCAGGGAAGAGAGAGGACGGUACCUGAAGAAUAAGUCACGGCUAACUACGUGCCAGCAGCCGCGGUAAUACGUAGGUGGCAAGCGUUAUCCGGAAUUACUGGGCGUAAAGCGCACGUAGGCGGCUAGUCAAGUUCGACGUGAAAGCUCCCGGCUUAACUGGGAGAGGUCGUUGAAAACUGGUUAGCUUGAGGCAAUGAGAGGGGUGUAGAAUUCCCGGUGUAGUGGUGGAAUGCGUAGAUAUCGGGAGGAAUACCAGUGGCGAAAGCGGCACCCUAGCAUUAGCCUGACGCUCAGGUGCGAAAGCGUGGGGAGCGAACG